rnacentral:ncRNA from 1 species
UAAAUUGAGAGUUUGAUCCUGGCUCAGGACGAACGCUGGCGGCGUGCCUAACACAUGCAAGUCGAGCGGAGAAUGCGGAUAUGUUUACAUAGAAGCGUUCUUAGCGGCGGACGGGUGAGUAACACGUGGGUAACCUGCCUCAAAGUGGGG